CCUUCUUUAUCUUUACCGAAUUGAACUUCAGCCCUCUCUAUUUCACAGAGAAGAAACUAAAGCAGUAAAACUGAAUUGACUUGCCCAAAUGAACACAGCUAGGAAAUGGCAAGCAUGGAUCUGAAUCCGGGCAGUCUAACUCCACAAAUCACACACAACUCUGGGUAUUUGCUGAACACCCUCUGAGGCUGUAGCAGAAAGGAAUGAGGCAACAUUUAAGGGAGUGCCAAGAGACUCAGAAAGCAAAAGAAACGGCAUUUAAAAAACAAUAAAAUUAAUGUUGAAAACAUCCACAUUGAACAAAAAUAUCAACAUUUUCAACCUAAUCCCAGCUGCCUUGGAAUCUUGUCUUUAUUAACUUUUGAUCUGUUUCUAAUUAUAGCUCUUUUGCAUUAAUUUUUAUUUCAAAAAAUAUUUCAUUAAAAUAUUAUUUAUAUCAGUUUCUGAGUUUUUUCAUGUCCCUUAAAUGUUGUGGUGGACCUGCUUGUCGCCAUCAUUUGACCAGCAAGUGACACUAAGCAAAACCUGUGUAUCUCAAAGGCUCAGAUUUCCCUUCCAUAAAGUGGAAACGAUAAGAGUUUCCCUGCUCACUGCGCCCGCAGGAUUAGGGUGAGAAACUAAGACGAUACAAAUACAAAAUUGCUAGUGCAACAGGCAUAUUCUUGCUACUGGAGUUGCUCAUGAAUGGAUAAGCAAGUUGAAUCCCCAGACCUGGUCGUGCUCCUGCACGCCUGGCGUGCCCACACCCAUGGCUGGAAAAUCGCCUGGAACCUAAUGUGUGUUUGAAUGGCAGCCACAGGAACCUUCCCUCAUCAUGCCCCCCUCUCCGCCGGUCCGAGCAUGUGGUGCAAGAACGGAUCUCUUAAGCUAGCGCAGUGCUUCUUUAACUUAACUGCAACUUAAAUCCCCCGGGGAUCUUGUUAAAAACGCGCCAGUCAGUCCAGGGUGGGGCGCAAGGGUCUGCAUGUCUAACAAGCCCCAGGUGAUGCUGAGAUUACUAGUCCACAAGCCACAGGGCUUUCAGGACCGAGGAGCCAGGCUAGACGCCUGGUGAAUGAAUGGAUCAGAAGGACUGUGAAAUGCCCCCAAAUAAUGACAGCCCUCUCCACGCCAGGAAGUGUGCACAAUCCUUAAAAGAGCCCUGGAAGUUCUCUGGGCUCGGAUCUAGUUCGCGGCGACAUGGCCAAAGGUACUAAGAAAGUCGGGAUCGUCAGUAAAUACGGGACCCACUAUGGGGCCUCCCUGUGGAAAAUGGUGAAGAAAACUGAAAUCAGCCAGCAUGCCAAACACACUUGCUCCUUCUGUGGCAAAACCAAGAUGAAGAGACGAGCAGUGGGGAUCUGGCACUGUGGUUCCUGCAUGAAGACAGUAGCUGGUGGAGGCUGGACAUAGAAUCCCACCUCAGCAGUCAUGAUCAAGUCCACCAUUAGAAGACUAAAGGAACCGAAAGACCAGUAGAGGCCCCUCUACUCUUUAAGACAUCAUUGGCCUAUAAUAAAUGGGUUAAUUUAUGUAACAACAACAAAGAGCCCUGGACAUAGGUUCUUUUAUGAGGAAGCCCUCCAGCCAAAGACCACCAAGAACACACUUCUAGUCACGCCAGGGUAGAUUAAUUCAGCUUGCUGCAGUAAGUGAGGGCACACACUUGC